UCUGAUGAUGUGUGUAUUUCAGGGACCGGUCAGCGGCAACCACCUAUUUCUGCAAGCAGGCCCCAGAAGAGAACCAGCCCACCAAUGAAUUGCUGCAAGAGGAAUGGAUCCCUUUCCGUCGAGUUGAGGAAGGGGAGAAGGAAUUUCAUGUUCGGAAUCCCCAGGUGCAUCAGCGGGUAAGCGAGUGUUUACGGGUGUUGAAGAUCCUGCAAGAGGUCACUGCUGGGCAGACUGUCUU
rnacentral:sRNA from 1 species